GAGCUGCCAGCCCACACAGCUUCAACACAGUUCACCCCAGUGGCCGCGUGGCCGGCCUCCCCUGGGCUCCGGAGGCCUCCAUUCCAGGUGAGCCCAGGAUGUGAGCUCGGUCACCGUGUCUCCUCUGUGGGUCACGCUUCCCUCUUGAAAUGCCAACGGGGUCUGCCCUGCUUGAGACCCUGACGGCAAGGGUAACCGCCGCCAGAUUCCUCUCUUCUUGAGGGUCUCCUCGGGGUGCCCGGUUGCAGACAAGAGGGCCCACGGUAGCUCAGGCUGUGAGGCUUAGAGCUUCCGAGAGGAACGGACAGCCAGGUUCAAUGCCACUGACCAGGAAUAACACGCUUGGGAGAGACAAAGGUUUCCAGAACCCCCCCUGCAGCCCUGCUUGUCACCCCCGUUCAUAACGUAGGCACAGGCCAUGGCCCCAACCCGACGCCCAAGUCCCAGGAGGCGAGGCCCAGCACAUGGCUGCUCUCUUGUGUUCCUCCGGCUGCCUUUCCAGUCUCGUCAGCGGGAGGGCGAAGACGCAGACCCGGACGGGCCCUCGAAGCGGUCGGAUAGCCCUGGAAGGUCGGGGGGCGGACCCCCCAUCCCAGCUGGGGACCACGGAGGAGAAUGUGGAUGGGACGGGGAGAGCUGUGUUGGACACGCGACGAUGCAGAGAGAGAGAGAGAGCUUCCAGCGGGGACCCAGCCCUGCGGAGGCCUGGGGACCGGGUCGUACGCGGGCGGGCAUGCUGGGUGCCCUUGGGGCCUCUCCACGGCGGAAAGCACCCAGCCGUCCCAGAGCCCACGUCCUCCUCACCCUUCUGUCUGUUGCAAUCCUCUGUGUCUUUCCCGGUGACUGGACACAGGGCCUGGUCGUUCCCUCGUCCGUCACAGAUCGUAGACUGUCUCCAGGAGGGUCGCACCGAGGGCGCGAAUUCAGGAUUCAGCCAACGCCUUACUCGCCCUUUGAGCACGCGACCCAGGCGAAACCUCCAAUCGCAGAAGCGCGUUGGGGUCCCUCCUGGCAUCGUGCGGCCAACACCUGCAAACCGUCCCCGGUCCCUGCCCUGUUCCACCUGGGCCGGCCCUUGCUCCCCGCGGAAGCCCGGGAAAGAAGGCCCCCACCGCCUCCUGGCGGAUCCUCUGCGCGGUCACAGAGCCCACGCCGCACUUGGCGUCGGCAGCCCACGGGGGCUUGGUGUCCUUCCCCAGGCCUUAGACUCCCAGCCGCGAUGCACCGCCUCGGAGAGGCAGGGCAUUUCCUGGCGGCCGCCCGGCAGUCGGCCCGGCCUUUAAAUCAGUUGACGUUCUCUACGGCCCCGGGAGACAGGGCAGGAUGCUAUCCCAGCUCGCACGUGGGGAACCCAAGGCCUCUGCCAAAGUCACUCCGCUGGCAAGAACCUAGGGCCCUUCCUGCCUCUCGCCGGUCAGCUGGCAUCUGGUGGCAAGGCGGGGCGCGCUUCCCUGCCCAGGCCUUGUGUCGGAAUCACCAGGGAACAGAUUGCACACCCACUAGAUCAGGGUCUCCGGGGUGGGGCCCAUGCCCUGCUGUUGCUUUUUCGAUACCCAGGGGGUUCCCGUGUGCGGCCUCCGUCAUGGCCACUGCCACUCCCGCUGUGGCCGGUGGGGGGGGUGGGGCAUUCCCCCGAAUCACCCACCGUCGUGAAGAUUUAGGAACACGUUGUGCGAGUGGAGGACGUCUCUGGAAGAACUGGGGAAACAUCAGGGCUGGAGAUCGUUUUGAAAUCCUGAGUUCACCUGGGGACACCGGGCUCUGUCUCGCCAGCUCAGAAACGGCCGAGCAAGACAAGACACAUAAGCGCUCAGGGCUUUGAUGAGGAACCGGAAUAUUUAUACAAGAAACAACAACCGAAAAAGGGAAAAAGCAAAAAGCAUCCAGACUGAGCCUGCUGUGUGCGCUUUUGCUCCAACAGCAGCCCUGGGGCCCGGGGGGGUGGGGGGGGGUCCUAUUUCUGGAAUGCGUCUCUUUGCCUCGUGCUGUUGCUGUUUCAGCAGGAAUGUUCUGGACGCAGGCAGGCUUUCUGUCGCCCUUGCUCUGGUCUGUGGGCUAACACCUACGCUGGGGCCUCCUUCGCAUACAAGUGAUGAAUGUCAGGCCCAAGGAGGCUCCCUGGGUCCUUGCUGCCUGCCUACCCAGGCCCUCGCCGAGGAGUUUGGGGUUCAAGCAGGGUGUCACCGCUCGACUCUCGUCUGGGGUCCGCAGAGAACCCCUGAGUUGUGCCCUGCAGGCUCCCGGGCCCCUGGCACUUUCAGAGCACAUCUGUGGCCUUGCUGGCGGUACGCACAGGGUCCGGAGCUGUCUGCCUCCGCUGGGGUCACUCCCUGCAUGUCUUCAGGGCCGAGAGCCACCCUGUCAACCUCCCCUGUUCUGGGAAGGGCGAGUCCCCGACCUGGCCCAGUCACCAGAGGCGGAUUAAAGUGCUGGGUAUAGACCUCUGGCCCUGAGGACAGCCGGAAACACAAACCUCAUCCCCCUCUGCAGAGCCCCUUGGGGCACAGACCUCCUGGCUUGGUCCCCGGGGCCAUUCCAUCCCCCCACUGCCCCCCACAGCGUCUGUUCCUAAAGGUUUGCUUUGUAGUCAUUCACAGUUACGUAGGCAACAUUCCCCCCAGAAAUUCGGGCACGUUCCCCCUCCUGCCUUAUAAAUGCUUUACCACCUGCUGUGGGAAGCCUCAGUUUCUGCUCCCGAAAGACUGGAAACGAUGCCCCCCAGACAACCGGGUGCGAUGACAUCAUACUGCGACAUGGGUCGCAGCCACCGGCGUCCUUCCUCAAACGUUCCCAACAAGGCAGACAGGCCAGCACUUGUGGUC
rnacentral:lncRNA from 1 species